rnacentral:rRNA from 1 species
GUCGAACGGUAACAGGCCGCAUGGUGCUGACGAGUGGCGAACGGGUGAGUAAUGCAUCGGAACGUGCCCAGUCGUGGGGGAUAACGCAGCGAAAGCUGUGCUAAUACCGCAUACGAUCUAUGGAUGAAAGCGGGGGACCGUAAGGCCUCGCGCGAUUGGAGCGGCCGAUGUCAGAUUAGGUAGUUGGUGGGGUAAAGGCCUACCAAGCCAACGAUCUGUAGCUGGUCUGAGAGGACGACCAGCCACACUGGGACUGAGACACGGCCCACACUCCUACGGGAGGCAGCAGUGGGGAAUUUUGGACAAUGGGCGCAAGCCUGAUCCAGCAAUGCCGCGUGCAGGAAGAAGGCCUUCGGGUUGUAAACUGCUUUUGUACGGAACGAAACGGUCUGGAUUAAUACCCUGGGCUAAUGACGGUACCGUAAGAAUAAGCACCGGCUAACUACGUGCCAGCAGCCGCGGUAAUACGUAGGGUGCAAGCGUUAAUCGGAAUUACUGGGCGUAAAGCGUGCGCAGGCGGUUUUGUAGACAGGCGUGAAAUCCCCGGGCUCUCCUGGGAAUUGCGCUUGUGACUGCAGGCUGGAGUGCGCAGAGGGGGAUGGAAUUCCUCGUGUACAGUGAAAUGCGUAGAUAUGCGGAGGACACCGAUGGCGAAGGAAUCCCCUGGGCCUGCACUGACACUCAUGCACGAAAGCGUGGGGAGCAAACAGGAUUAGAUACCCUGGUAGUCCACGCCCUAAACGAUGUCUACUGGUUGUUGGGAAUUUCUUUCUCAUUAACGAACUAACGCGUGAAGUUGACGCCUGGGGAGUACGGCCGCAGGUUGAACUCAUAG